CCUACGGGGGGCAGCAGUGGGGAAUAUUGGACAAUGGGGGCAACCCUGAUCCAGCCAUGCCGCGUGUGUGAAGAAGGCCCUCGGGUUGUAAAGCACUUUCAGUGAGGAAGAACGCCUGGUGGUUAAUACCCAUCAGGAAAGACAUCACUCACAGAAGAAGCACCGGCUAACUCCGUGCCAGCAGCCGCGGUAAUACGGAGGGUGCGAGCGUUAAUCGGAAUUACUGGGCGUAAAGCGCGCGUAGGUGGCUUGAUAAGCCGGUUGUGAAAGCCCCGGGCUCAACCUGGGAACGGCAUCCGGAACUGUCAAGCUAGAGUGCAGGAGAGGAAGGUAGAAUUCCCGGUGUAGCGGUGAAAUGCGUAGAGAUCGGGAGGAAUACCAGUGGCGAAGGCGGCCUUCUGGACUGACACUGACACUGAGGUGCGAAAGCGUGGGUAGCAAACAGGAUUAGCUACCAUGGUAGUC
rnacentral:rRNA from 1 species